rnacentral:rRNA from 1 species
UACGGGGGGAGCAAGCGUUGUUCGGAUUUACUGGGCGUAAAGGGCGCGUAGGCGGUCAGCACAAGUCAGUUGUGAAAUCUCCGGGCUUAACUCGGAAAGGUCAACUGAUACUGUGCGACUAGAGUGCGGAAGGGGCAACUGGAAUUCCUGGUGUAGCGGUGAAAUGCGCAGAUAUCAGGAGGAACACCGGUGGCGAAGGCGGGUCUCUGGAACGCAACUGACGCUGAGACGCGAAAGCGUGGGGAGCAAACAGG